rnacentral:rRNA from 1 species
UACGGAGGGUGCAAGCGUUAGUCGGAUUUAUUGGGCGUAAAGGGCGUGUAGGCGGCUAUGUAAGUCAGAUGUGAAAUCCCGAAGCUCAACUUCGGAACUGCAUUUGAAACUGCAUUGCUAGAGGGUAGGCGGGGAAAACGGAAUUCCACAAGUAGCGGUGAAAUGCGUAGAUAUGUGGAGGAACACCUGUGGCGUAGGCGGUUUUCUAGCUUACACCUGACGCUGAGGCGCGAAAGCAUGGGGAGCAAACAGG